rnacentral:rRNA from 1 species
GACGAACGCUGGCGGCGUGCUUAACACAUGCAAGUCGAACGGAAAGGCCUGCUUUCCCUUGUGGAUUGCGGGUACUCGAGUGGCGAACGGGUGAGUAACACGUGAGUGAUCUGCCCCCAACUUGGGUAUAAGCCUGGGAAACUGGGUCUAAUUCCCGAUAGGACUGCAGGGUGGUGCCUGUGGUGGAAAACGAUUUUCUAGUGGUUGGGGAUGAGCUCGCGGCCUAUCAGCUUGUUGGUGGGGUAAUGUCCUACCAAGGCGGCGACGGGUAGCCGGCCUGAGAGGGUGGACGGGCACAGUGGGACUGGGAAGCGGCCCAGACGCCUCCGGGGGGAAGCAGUGGGGAAUAUGGCACAAUGGGCGGAAGCCUAAUGCAGCGACGCCGAGUGGGGGAUGACGGCCUUCGGGUUGUAAACUCCUUUCGACCGCGAGGAAGCCACCUGGUUGGAAGGGUGGUGACGGUAGUGGUAGAAGAAGCACCGGCUAACUACG